rnacentral:misc_RNA from 1 species
GUUUUAUGAUGCUAUUGCUAUGAAUCAGGCAGACCAUUUCAUAAUUUCAUUAUAGCUCGCAUGUACAACUAACACUGACACGGCUGCCAAAUGUGUGUGUGUAUCUGUGUACGUAUAUCAAAGCAGCACCUCUUUCCAUUAAGAAAUAAAUAAUAUAACAUUAGCAUUACACAACUUUUUCUUUUCCUAUUGCUAUAUCCCCUCUAAGACAGCUCACAGGCAGACCCUUUCCACCCCUUCUGGCAACCUUUGAAACUGGGCAUGCCCAGUGCCCCUUGCAAUAAUGUGACUUAACAAAUGGGACACUGGCCAAAUAUUUAUGAGUAUGCUGAACUUGCGUUCAAGUUAGAAAACAUCAAUACAAUUACAGGUAGACGUUGCACAGCAGGCACUAUUCCUUCUGGAAAAAUGAAAGAAUGAGAUCUGUGUGUACAGAGAAGAGCUGUGUGUCUACGAAGAGCUUCAUGAAUGGCCGAUCACGAUUAGGGAAGGAAUCUAUGAAACUCUCCUUUAAGAGCAAUGACACCUUAUCAUUAUUGGACUGUACAUUUGUAAUUGUGUGAGAGCGUAAGUUAGAACAGAGUGAAUCCAAGUAAGACCUUAACACUGCUAAAAAACCCUUAGCAGAUUCAACCUGUACAUCUGUACAUUCAUAAACUGGCCUUUUCCUUGCCAAAUAACUUUCUCCCACAAGCUUUGCAUGAUAAGGACUCAAGGAUGAAAAUAACUCUUUGCGUUUUGGCAAUUGUGGAAUUGUUGGUGAUUUUACCUAUCACAGAAACAGGGAGAAAAAUAAAAUAAAAUCAAUUGGUUCAAAGUAUAAAUCACAUCAGGCAUUAAAUGAUGGGUUGUAACUAAUCAACAAAUUUACUAGAAGUUUCAUAGAAUUAUUAAAAAGCCAUAUACCAAUUUCACAAAUUUAUUGGAUACUACCAGCAGCAUAAGGGCUGAAGAUAGUUCAUCAGUGACUGUUGAUGAUUUAGGAAAAAUGAAAUACAUAUGAACAAGUACUGAGGCUAUUACUAAACUAAGUUAGAAUAGAUUAUAUGAACUUUUUAGACUGGACUUGCAUGUCGUUAAAAUGCUGGCAGAAUUUUCUGAACAUGUAUAAUCUUCAGCCAUGUUCAAUGACAAUAUAAUGCCUGCACAGCAAGGAUAAGAAAGCAGGAGGAAAAGAAAAGAAAAGAAAGUAGAAAGUCUAGGUAUCUGUUCAAGAUUAUUAAGUCAUGAAAGUUAUACAAUUCCAAUGCUGAAAAUUAAAAUGCAAACCUGGUUCUUGUUAGCAUCAACCAGAAUGGCAUUGGUCAAUUUUGACUGUACUUCACUGGUUUUGUUCUUUACACCAACUAUAUAAGGAACCGGUGCAUCCAAAAAGUCCAGCAUAUCAUCUGGUAAAAUCGGCAUUAAUAGGCUUUGCCAUUGAUAGGGACGGAUAAGAGGGAUAAUUGAUAAAACCAACGCAGAUAAGAUUCCCAAAUCAGAACAAACAACCACAAUCUGCUUCUCCAGUAAUGCUCCAGCAAAGAGUGUUAACACAUUCUCUAGACGCAAGGAUCCACACAAACAUGCGAUGGCCCAUGUUGACAAUACAGUUGCUUCCUCCUCUGCUGAAAGUGCACUGUGUGCCUCAGCAAAUUCCAGACUUGUACUGCAAGAUCUCAAGUUGAUAGUUGAGCCAGCAAUAUGUAGAACUGUUUCAUCUGGUCUAUGAUAUUCCAAAGGAUGAAGAUGCUCCAAAGGAUGAAAUCUUAAUGUUGAACCCCUAGAAGGACAAUGCAACUGGUAAUACUUGCAUAUUAUCUGCAGUGAUCCAUAGUUGUUUGCCUUGGCCCAUUCAAGAAUAUCCAUAUGAUCAUUAGAUUCCUCCUGGCCAGAAAAAGAUGCCUCUUCAGUCUCUGUAUCAUCAACAUCACUCCUAAAGUUCCGAUCUUCACUAGGAGAACCCUGGAAACUUGAGGAAGAUUCUGAGCUUUCAUACUGAUAAUAGCGCAGGAGAGGCAGCACAGCAUUUGGUAAACGUCUUUCUUCUGCUUGUUUGUUGGAUAAAUAAUCAACAUCAAUAUCACAAUCGUCAAGUUUUCUACUGCCAGAUUCUCCUUUGCCAACGCCUAUCUCUGUUUCAGAAUCAGCUGUAAUAACAUUAUCCUCAUUCCCUUUCUUUGACAAGUGAAUAUGCCCUUCAGGAAUUGGAUGCUCCAGGUGAUUCCCAUCAUUAGCGACACCUCCAGGCAUAGAAUCUAUUGAGCUUGAUUGGAAAUUUUCCGCUGUUCCAUCAAGCACUUCUCCUGCAUAUCCACAAUUUGGUGAUAUACCAUCUAAAUUGCCCUCUAAAUUUUCUUCUUUGCUAUAACCCUCCAAGGAUUCCAAUUCGAAAACACCAAUUUCUUUUGUUAACCGUUCCAACCUUUCUUCUGUGAAAAUGCUGUUUAAUACACCAAAAUGCAGUUCAAAGAAUGGAAGCCUUGAAAGGAUGCAGUAACAUCUUCGUGUGGUUAGUACAUAACGGCUCAAAGAUGAGCAGGAAGGCCGCUUAUCUGAAAUCAUGGAAAGCAAGCCAGAGGGUUUUUGCACUAUUUCAUCCACUAACACACAGCAACCAUACAAUGUAGAAUCAUCAGCAACCUGUAACCGGAAUACAAAUGACAGGUCACUUUGUUUAAGGUGCUCCUGCCCAAGAAGAAUUUCAUUUAACUCGCUCAUUGAGGGUGUUCUCUCAACAGCAUGAACCUCCAGGCCUCCAGGGAAGCAAAAUGAUACAAGAUCCUUGUACUUAAGAGGCAACUGUUUGUCCGGAGGAUAAACAAAUAAGACCUGAGGCUCAAGAAUGGGUUCUAUGCGAGACUGAUUCUGAGAACCAAGCGAACCUUGCAAUCUUCCAGAACCUUCAAACCUUCGAGUAACAUAUUGCCUCUGAAGUGCCUGAAGAUCACAAUUUGGAUGAAGUCCAACAACUACCAUGCUCUCAAAAAGUCUUGAUGGCUCCUUUAAAUGCCUGUGAUCCAAGUACUGUAACUGAAAAUUUGCCCAUUGACGCUUUUGGCUAGUAAGAACUUCGGGAUUGUAAGUUCCACCUUUCACUUCAUGAGGAGGAGAUGAGAAGCCUUUUAGCACUCUUGAAACAUGGCGUUGUAGCUUCUGAAAUUGGCUAUCACCAUGAUCAUCUUUUGAUGAGAAUACUACAGAUGGCCGUGGUGAACGAGGAGCAGUGGCUGCAGCUGCUGCAGCGGCAACAGCUCUUGCCACAUCUUCUGUGGUCUGCAAGAAAAGUGAUGCUCUCCAACCAGGACUACCAGUAUCUUCAUUUUUAGCCAUCCUUAACAAGCUCUUCUACUUAAGAAAGCGAGUGAUUAAUGGAAAGAAAGAAAGAGGUGUAUGAGAGAUAUGUAAGACGGAUAAAGAGCGAUCUCAGACGGCUACAACAAUGGAAGCAUGAAAUUUCAUCUUUUUCUGGUUGAAAAACCCCAAAGAGAAUUGAGAGAGAAAGAGAGGAAGUUAUACGCUUAAGCUGAUUUAAUUAAUUGUUAAUUAAAGAUAAGCUUUUUCUUUUAUUAGUAGGAAACAGAAAUGUCAAAAGGGGAAGAAGUGAAGCCCCGUCCU